AACGUAGGGGGCGAGCGUUGUCCGGAAUUACUAGGCGUAAAGGGCAGGCAGGCGGAUCCAUAAGUUUAUCGUUUAAGGCGUCGGCUUAACCGGCGUAGGGCGGUAGAUACUGUGGAUCUGGAAUGCGGUUGGGGAAGACAGAAUUCCUGGUGUAGCGGGGGAAUGCGCAGAGAUCAGGAGGAAUACCGAAGGCGAAGGCAGUCUUCCAAGCCGUUAUUGACGCUCAACUGCGAAGGUGUGGGUAUCAAACAGGAUUAGAUACCCUGGUAGUCCCUGAGCGGG
rnacentral:rRNA from 1 species